GACGAACGCUGGCGGCGUGCCUAAUACAUGCAAGUCGAACGAACUCUGGUAUUGAUUGGUGCUUGCAUCAUGAUUUACAUUUGAGUGAGUGGCGAACUGGUGAGUAACACGUGGGAAACCUGCCCAGAAGCGGGGGAUAACACCUGGAAACAGAUGCUAAUACCGCAUAACAACUUGGACCGCAUGGUCCGAGUUUGAAAGAUGGCUUCGGCUAUCACUUUUGGAUGGUCCCGCGGCGUAUUAGCUAGAUGGUGGGGUAACGGCUCACCAUGGCAAUGAUACGUAGCCGACCUGAGAGGGUAAUCGGCCACAUUGGGACUGAGACACGGCCCAAACUCAUACGGGAGGCAGCAGUAGGGAAUCUUCCACAAUGGACGAAAGUCUGAUGGAGCAACGCCGCGUGAGUGAAGAAGGGUUUCGGCUCGUAAAACUCUGUUGUUAAAGAAGAACAUAUCUGAGAGUAACUGUUCAGGUAUUGACGGUAUUUAACCAGAAAGCCACGGCUAACUACGUGCCAGCAGCCGCGGUAAUACGUAGGUGGCAAGCGUUGUCCGGAUUUAUUGGGCGUAAAGCGAGCGCAGGCGGUUUUUUAAGUCUGAUGUGAAAGCCUUCGGCUCAACCGAAGAAGUGCAUCGGAAACUGGGAAACUUGAGUGCAGAAGAGGACAGUGGAACUCCAUGUGUAGCGGUGAAAUGCGUAGAUAUAUGGAAGAACACCAGUGGCGAAGGCGGCUGUCUGGUCUGUAACUGACGCUGAGGCUCGAAAGUAUGGGUAGCAAACAGGAUUAGAUACCCUGGUAGUCCAUACCGUAAACGAUGAAUGCUAAGUGUUGGAGGGUUUCCGCCCUUCAGUGCUGCAGCUAACGCAUUAAGCAUUCCGCCUGGGGAGUACGGCCGCAAGGCUGAAACUCAAAGGAAUUGACGGGGGCCCGCACAAGCGGUGGAGCAUGUGGUUUAAUUCGAAGCUACGCGAAGAACCUUACCAGGUCUUGACAUACUAUGCAAAUCUAAGAGAUUAGACGUUCCCUUCGGGGACAUGGAUACAGGUGGUGCAUGGUUGUCGUCAGCUCGUGUCGUGAGAUGUUGGGUUAAGUCCCGCAACGAGCGCAACCCUUAUUAUCAGUUGCCAGCAUUAAGUUGGGCACUCUGGUGAGACUGCCGGUGACAAACCGGAGGAAGGUGGGGAUGACGUCAAAUCAUCAUGCCCCUUAUGACCUGGGCUACACACGUGCUACAAUGGAUGGUACAACGAGUUGCGAACUCGCGAGAGUAAGCUAAUCUCUUAAAGCCAUUCUCAGUUCGGAUUGUAGGCUGCAACUCGCCUACAUGAAGUCGGAAUCGCUAGUAAUCGCGGAUCAGCAUGCCGCGGUGAAUACGUUCCCGGGCCUUGUACACACCGCCCGUCACACCAUGAGAGUUUGUAACACCCAAAGUCGGUGGGGUAACCUUUUAGGAACCAGCCGCCUAAGGUGGGACAGAUGAUUAGGGUG
rnacentral:rRNA from 2 species